rnacentral:lncRNA from 1 species
ACUCACACUCUGACUGUAAACAGAGGGUACCUGGAUGCCAGGAGGCAGAGGGCACAGGGAUGGGUACAGCCCCUGUGUCCUUCCUGGGUAAACUGCCUCCCCUCACCCAGGACCGAUCUCCCUGUGGUUCAGGGCCAUGGGUCCCUCGCUGCUAAGACCUCCAGUUCCUCUAAUGUCCUGGAGGCACGUGGUGCCCAGCCCUUCUCAUUCCUGGGCAGGUCCAGCGUGUCUGUUUAUACCACGGGAGUCAACUAGAACUUUACGAGGGACUCACCCCCCACCCCCUUCUCUGGAGCCUGGCACCUUACUUCACUCCAAGCCUUGCUUUCCUCAGGGAGGAGGGGCAGGCCUGGGGGCUGGACCCAGGGCAGAGCCUCAACCCCGCAGGCUAACGCCAUCUCCUGGCACCAUCUGCUGGAUGGGAAGAGGUGCCUCUUGCUACCCACGAUGAUCUUAGAGGUUAUUACAAGAUAUUGAAUGGAGUUCCCUGCCCUAUACAGAGGCAAGACCGAAAAGAGAGAUAAUCCCACAGAAGCAUGAACAUAGAGCCAGAAGUGACUGAGAUGGCCAGUGGAUGGAGACAUGAGGCCAAUCCCAUUUCCAUCCCCAACACCCCUAUAUUGGGAGGGACCUUGGAUUCCCACCACCUGUGGGGUGAAUGUUUGAGUGGCUAUCUCAUCUCAAAGAACAAAUGCUGCAAGCUGAGUUGCAUGUAAAUGUAUGUAUUAAAACGUGUGUUAACUGUUGGUGGGAAUAUAUAUUGGUGCAGUGACCACAGAAAACAGUUUGGAGGUUCCUUUAAAAACUAAAAACUGAGUUACCAUAAGAUCUGGCAAUCCCAUUCCUGGGCAUAUAUCAGGAGAAAACUAAUUUGAAAGUGAUACAUGCACCCCAGCGUUCAGAGUGGCACCACUUACAAGAGCCAAGACGUGGAAGUGACUCAUUGACUCAGUCAUAAGGAAGAAUAAAACGACACCAUUUGCAGCAACAUGGGUGGACCCAAGAUCAUCAUAUUAAGCAAAUGAGAACCAAUAGUGACAUCGGAUCAUUGUUGAGCACCCUGUCCAUGAACUCUGCUCCAAUACUGAGGCCAAGGACUAAAUCCUCAAGGAGAGGAUUUGAUUUUAUACAACAAACCCAUUGAAUGUCUCCUUCGUCCCAAGCGGCCAGCCUUAGAAGAUACAAAGAUAAAUACGCCAUGGGCACUGCAGAGCCAGCGGAGAAGGACAAGGGAGCACUGUCUCCCGGGAGGACAUGGUUUUCUUUCAGGCUUUUCUUGUACCUGCCUACCUCUAUUUGCCACUCACACUGUUUCUGCCACCCUGUUUUUUUUUUAUUCUCUACUAAAUGAAUCUUACUAUUUUAUUUUCUUUUAAGUUUGUCAAGUUCAGUAAUCUGCUCAGAAACCAGCUUUGGAGUAUGUCCAUUAUUUUUUUUAAUUUAUUUUAUUUUUUUUGUCUUUUUAUCUUUUCUAGGGCCACACCCCCCGCAUAUGGAGGUUCCCAGGCUAGAGGUCAGAUCGGAGCUGUAGCCGCCGGCCUACGCCAGAGCCACAGCAACACCAGAUCCGAGCCACAUUUGCAACCUACACCACAGCUCACUGCAAUGCCAGAUCCUUGACCCACUGAGCGAGGCCAGGAAUCGAACCUAUAUCCUCAUGGUUCCUAGUCGGAUUGUUUCCUCUGCGUCACAUCAGGAACUCCAUGGAGUGUGUCCAUUAUUGUUUGUUUCCAGAUUCUUCUUUAAUUUUUGCUUUUAUUUUUAUGUUUCUCCUUUCUUAGAAUGUUCUCUUGAUUUCUAAAAUUGAAUGUGUAAUUCAUUAAUGUUCAAUCUUAUUUUAUUAUUAAUAUAUUUUAAACUACAUUUUCCAAUAGAGUGGUUUCACUUCAUCCACAAAUUUUGACACAUAUGGUUUUCACUAUUUUAUUUUUUUCUUUUUACAGCUGCACCUGCAGCAUAUGGAAGUUCCAGGCCAGGGAUGGAACCACAGCUGGAUCCAUAACCCACUGAGCCACCAGGGAACUCCUAUUUACCUUUUUGAAAUUGAAUUUUUUAUUUUAUUUCAUUGUGGUUACAGAACAUAUAAAUUUUUUUGGUCUUUUUUUUUUGAGAAUUGGCUUAUUGUCUACCUUUCUGACUAUUUUGUCAUGUAUUCUUGGAAAAAAUGUGUAUUCUCCAUUUGGGGGUGCAAGCUUUUAGGUAUGGCCUUCCUUAAUAAGUUGUCUUGUAAUGAUUUAUGAUUUAUAUUCUUAUUCAAUUUUUUACUCCUUAGGCUUUGAGUUUCUAAAAAUGAUAAAUGGAAAUCUCCCCCAGAAACCUUCCAUUCUAAUUGUGAAUUUGUUAAUUUCCGCUUAUAAUUCUGUCAAUUUUCACAUCAUGUAUUUCAAGACUGUUGCUAAAUGUAUGCACAUUCAGUUAUUACUGUAUCUUCCUGGUAUAGUAGCUUAAGUAAUGAUUCUCUUUAUCAUCAUCAUACAAUGCUUGUAUUUUAUGUCUAUUUGAUAAUAAUUAUUAAUUAAAAUAUUAUUGCUGAUGCUAAUAUUGCUAAACCAACUUUCUUUUUCUAUCAUUUCACUGUCAACAUUUUUGUGUUACUAUGAAUUAUAAACAAAAUACAGAUU